GACGAACGCUGGCGGCGCGCUUAACACAUGCAAGUCGAACGGAAAGGCCUGCUUUCCCUUGUGGAUUGCGGGUACUCGAGUGGCGAACGGGUGAGUAACACGUGAGUGAUCUGCCCCCAACUUGGGUAUAAGCCUGGGAAACUGGGUCUAAUUCCCGAUAGGACUGCAGGGUGGUGCCUGUGGUGGAAAACGAUUUUCUAGUGGUUGGGGAUGAGCUCGCGGCCUAUCAGCUUGUUGUUGGGGUAAUGGCCUACCAAGGCGGCGACGGGUAGCCGGCCUGAGAGGGUGGACGGCCACAUUGGGACUGAGAUACGGCCCAGACUCCUACGGGAGGCAGCAGUGGGGAAUAUUGGACAAUGGGCGUAAGCCUGAUGCAGCGACGCCGCGUGGGGGAUGACGGCCUUCGGGUUGUAAACUCCUUUCGACCGCGAGGAAGCCACCUGGUUGGAAGGGUGGUGACGGUAGUGGUAGAAGAAGCACCGGCUAACUACGUG
rnacentral:rRNA from 1 species